CCACCCACGGCAACAAAUUCCAAUUGUGUGUAACAUUCAAUGCAAUUGAGCCGACGCCGUGGGAAAUCACUUUCGUGGAACCAUUUGAUCCCACGCUCGUUACUGUUAAUGAUUGUGGUUUGCACGUGGUUUACAAUU
ensembl:snoRNA Y43F8C.22 ncRNA